GAUGAACGCUGGCGGCGUGCCUAAUACAUGCAAGUCGAGCGAACAGAUAAGGAGCUUGCUCCUUUGACGUUAGCGGCGGACGGGUGAGUAACACGUGGGUAACCUACCUAUAAGACUGGAAUAACUCCGGGAAACCGGGGCUAAUGCCGGAUAACAUGUUGAACCGCAUGGUUCUACAGUGAAAGGCGGCUUUGCUGUCACUUAUAGAUGGACCCGCGCCGUAUUAGCUAGUUGGUGAGGUAACGGCUCACCAAGGCAACGAUACGUAGCCGACCUGAGAGGGUGAUCGGCCACACUGGAACGGAGACACGGACCAGACUCCUACGGGAGGCAGCAGUAGGGAAUCUUCCGCAAUGGGCGAAAGCCUGACGGAGCAACGCCGCGUGAGUGAUGAAGGUCUUCGGAUCGUAAAACUCUGUUAUUAGGGAAGAACAAAUGCGUAAGUAACUGUGCGCGUCUUGACGGUACCUAAUCAGAAAGCCACGGCUAACUACGUG
rnacentral:rRNA from 1 species